rnacentral:rRNA from 1 species
UACGUAGGAUGCAAGCGUUGUCCGGAAUUAUUGGGCGUAAAGAGCUCGUAGGCGGUUUGUCGCGUCUGCUGUGAAAACUCGGGGCUUAACUCCGGGCCUGCAGUGGGUACGGGCAGACUAGAGUGCGGUAGGGGAGACUGGAAUUCCUGGUGUAGCGGUGAAAUGCGCAGAUAUCAGGAGGAACACCGGUGGCGAAGGCGGGUCUCUGGGCCGUAACUGACGCUGAGGAGCGAAAGCGUGGGGAGCGAACAGG